GACGAACCGUGCAAACGUUGUUCGGAAUCACUGGGCUUAAAGGGCGCGUAGGCGGGCUCCCAAGUCGGUGGUGAAAUCUUUCGGCCCAACCGGAAAAGUGCCGCCGAUACUGGGAAUCUCGAGGGAGGUAGGGGUCGAUGGAACUUCCGGUGGAGCGGUGAAAUGCGUAGAUAUCGGAAGGAACGCCGGUGGCGAAAGCGAUCGACUGGACCUCUUCUGACGCUGAGGCGCGAAAGCCAGGGGAGCAAACGGG
rnacentral:rRNA from 1 species